UUGAGAGGUCAGACUAUUAACUAAACCAUGAAGAAAUGUGGAGAUUGUUCUCUAAAGGUAUGAAAUUUAGAGAUUUUCUCCAUCGUCGUCAUGCUAUUUUGUACAGCCAAGAGAAGAUCAUCACCGAGAAACAUUCUGUGCAAUUUUGCUUCCUUGGGAUUUGUCAUUCUUCAUCUCAG